AUGAAGAGUUUGAUCCUGGCUCAGGAUGAACGCUAGCGGCAGGCCUAACACAUGCAAGUCGAACGGUAACAGGAAAGAGCUUGCUCUUUUGCUGACGAGUGGCGCACGGGUGCGUAACGCGUAUACAAUCUACCUUUUACAGGGGGAUAGCCUUUAGAAAUGAAGAAUAAUACCCCAUAGUAAGUAAAUUUCGCAUGGAAAUUACUUUAAAGAUUUAUCGGUAAAAGAUGAGUAUGCGUUCUAUUAGCUAGAUGGUAAGGUAACGGCUUACCAUGGCAACGAUAGAUAGGGGCCCUGAGAGGGGGAUCCCCCACACUGGUACUGAGACACGGACCAGACUCCUACGGGAGGCAGCAGUGAGGAAUAUUGGACAAUGGAGGCAACUCUGAACCAGCCAUGCCGCGUGCAGGAAGACUGCCCUAUGGGUUGUAAACUGCUUUUAUAUAGGAAGAAACCUUUCCACGUGUGGAGAGCUGACGGUACUAUAAGAAUAAGGAUCGGCUAACUCCGUGCCAGCAGCCGCGGUAAUACG
rnacentral:rRNA from 1 species